ensembl:lncRNA
GCACUAUAGAGCCCUAUAGGCCCUGGUCUAAUGUAGUGCCCUAAAGGCCCUGGUCUAAUGUAGUGCUCUAUAGGCCCUGGUCUAAUGUAGUGCUCUAUAGUGCCCUAUAGGCCCUGGUCUAAUGUAGUGCUCUAUGGAGCCCUAUAGGCCCUGGUCUAAUGUAGUGCCCUAUAGGCCCUGGUCUAAUGUAGUGCUCUAUAGAGCCCUAUAGGCCCUGGUCUAAUGUAGUGCUCUGUAGGCCCUGGUCUAAUGUAGUGCUCUAUAGAGCCCUAUAGGCCCUGGUCUAAUGUAGUGCCCUAAAGGCCCUGGUCUAAUGUAGUGCUCUAUAGGCCCUGGUCUAAUGUAGUGCUCUAUAGAGCCCUAUAGGCCCUGGUCUAAUGUCGUGCUCUAUAGAGCCCUAUAGGCCCUGGUCUAAUGUAGUGCCAUAUAGGCCCUGGUCUAAUGUAGUGCACUAUAGAGCCCUAAAGGCCCUGGUCUAAUGUAGUGCUCUAUAGAGCCCUAUAGGCCCUGGUCUAAUGUAGUGCUCUAUAGGCCCUGGUCUAAUGUAGUGCUCUAUAGUGCCCUAUAGGCCCUGGUCUAAUGUAGUGCUCUAUGGAGCCCUAUAGGCCCUGGUCUAAUGUAGUGCCCUAUAGGCCCUGGUCUAAUGUAGUGCUCUAUAGAGCCCUAUAGGCCCUGGUCUAAUGUAGUGCUCUAUAGUGCCCUAUAGGCCCUGGUCUAAUGUAGUGCCAUAUAGGCCCUGGUCUAAUGUAGUGCACUAUAGAGCCCUAAAGGCCCUGGUCUAAUGUAGUGCUCUAUAGAGCCCUAUAGGCCCUGGUCUAAUGUAGUGCCCUAAAGGCCCUGGUCUAAUGUAGUGCUCUAUAGGCCCUGGUCUAAUGUAGUGCUCUAUAGAGCCCUAUAGGCCCUGGUCUAAUGUAGUGCUCUAUAGGCCCUGGUCUAAUGUAGUGCUCUAUAGAGCCCUAUAGGCCCUGGUCUAAUGUAGUGCUCUAUGGAGCCCUAUAGGCCCUGGUCUAAUGUAGUGCUCUAUGGAGCCCUAUAGGCCCUGGUCUAAUGUAGUGCUCUGGUCUAAUGUAGUGCUCUAUAGAGCCCUAUAGGCCCUGGUCUAAUGUAGUGCACUAUAUGGGGAAUAGGGUGCCAUUUGAAACACCAU